rnacentral:rRNA from 1 species
CAGUCGCCACGGGAAUACGUAGGGGGCAAGCGUUAUCCGGAAUUACUGGGUGUAAAGGGAGCGUAGACGGUUAAACAAGUCUGAAGUGAGAUGCCGGGGCUCAACCCCGGAGCUGCUUUGGGAACUGUAGAACUGGAGUGUCGGAGGGGUAAGCGGAAUUCCCAGUGUAGCGGUGAAAUGCGUAGAUAUUGGGAGGAACACCGGCGGCGAAGGCGGCUUACUGGACGACAACUGACGUUGAGGCUCGAAGGCGUGGGUAGCAGACAGGAUUAGAUACCCCAGUAGUCCCUGUCUCUUAUAC